AGUGGAUGGGGAGCAACCUAGUUGUGCGUGUGUAAAGGUAGUGCCAAGAAAAGCGGUGAUCAUGAUGAAAAUCAAUCCCCGGUACCCGAAACCGACACAGGUGGGCAAGUAGAGAAUACUAAGGGGCGCGAGGUAACUCUCUCUAAGGAACUCGGCAAAAUGACCCCGUAACUUAGGGAGAAGGGGUGCCACCGAGAGGUGGUCGCAGUGAAGAGGCCCAGGCGACUGUUUAGCAAAAACAUAGGUCUCUGCAAACUCGAAAGAGGAGGUAUAGGGGCUGACGCCUGCCCAGUGCCGGAAGGUUAGAGAAGUUGGUCAGUCUUAGGAUGAAGCUAGCGACUGAAGCCCCGGUGAACGGCGGCCGUAACUAUAACGGUCCUAAGGUAGCGAAAUUCCUUGUCGGGUAAGUUCCGACCCGCACGAAAGGCGUAACGAUCUGGGCGCUGUCUCGGAGAGAGGCUCGGCGAAAUAGGAUUGUCUGUGAAGAUACGGACUACCUGCAUUUGGACAGAGAGACCCUAUGAAGCUUUACUAUAGCUUGGAAUUGUGUUCGGGCUUCCUGUGCGCAGGAUAGGUGGGAGGCGUAGAAGGUAUUCUUGUGGGGAUACUGGAGCCAACGGUGAGAUACCACUCUCAGGAGGCUAGAAUUCUAACUUAAUUAAGGACAGUUUCAGGUGGGUAGUUUGACUGGGGCGGUCGCCUCCAAAAAGGUAACGGAGGCGUACAAAGGUUCCCUCAGACUGGUUGGGAAUCAGUCGCAGAGUGCAAAGGCAGAAAGGAGCUUGACUGCGAGAAGUACAGUUCGAGCAGGGUGGAAACACGGUCUUAGUGAUCCGACGGUGCUGUGUGGAAGGGCCGUCGCUCAACGGAUAAAAGUUACUCUAGGAUAACAGGCUGAUCUCCCCCAAGAGUUCACAUCGACGGGGAGGUUUGGCACCUCGAUGUCGGCUCAUCGCAACCUGGGGCGGAAGUACGUCCCAAGGGUUGGGCUGUUCGCCCAUUAAAGCGGUACGUGAGCUGGGUUCAGAACGUCGUGAGACAGUUCGGUCCAUAUCCGAUGUAGGCGUGAGAAUAUUGAGAGGAGCCUUCCUUAGUACGAGAGGACCGGGAAGGACGCACCGCUGGUGUACCUGUUAUGAUGCCAAUUGUAAACGCAGGGUAGCCAAGUGCGGAGAGGAUAACCGCUGAAAGCAUCUAAGUGGGAAGCCCACCUCAAGAUGAGUAUUCUGGUGUAAGGUCACGGGAAGACGACCCGUAAAUAGGCACGAGGUGGAAGUGCAGAGAUGUAUGAAGCCGAAGUGUACUAAUAGACCGUCGGCUUGAGC
rnacentral:rRNA from 1 species